GAUGAACGCUAGCGGCAGGCCUAACACAUGCAAGUCGAGGGGUAGAGGAAGCUUGCUUCCUUGAGACCGGCGCACGGGUGCGUAACGCGUAUGCAAUCUACCUUUUACAGAGGGAUAGCCCAGAGAAAUUUGGAUUAAUACCUCAUAGUAUCUUUGCCUGGCAUCGGGUGAUUAUUAAAGUUCCAACGGUAAAAGCUGAGCAUGCGUCCUAUUAGCUAGAUGGUAAGGUAACGGCUUACCAUGGCAACGAUAGGUAGGGGUCCUGAGAGGGAGAAACCCCACGCUGGUACUGAUGCACGGCCCCGGCUCCAACGGGAGGCAGCAUUGGGGAAUAUUCGACAAUGGGCGCAAGCCUGAUCCAGCCAUGCCGCGGGCAGGAAGCCGGUCCUAUGGAUUGUAAACUGCUUAUGUACGAGAAGAAACACGCCCUCGUGGGGGAGCUUGACGGUACCGGAAGAAUAAGGAUCGGCUAACUCCGUGCCAGCCGCCGCCGUAAGAC
rnacentral:rRNA from 1 species